CCUACGGGGGGCAGCAGUGGGGAAUAUUGCGCAAUGGGGGAAACCCUGACGCAGCAACGCCGCGUGAAUGAAGAAGGCCUUAGGGUUGUAAAGUUCUGUUUACGGGGACGAUAAUGACGGUACCCGUGGAGGAAGCCACGGCUAACUACGUGCCAGCAGCCGCGGUAAUACGUAGGUGGCAAGCGUUGUCCGGAUUUACUGGGCGUAAAGGAUGCGUAGGCGGAUGUUUAAGUGAGAUGUGAAAUACCCGGGCUCAACUUGGGUGCUGCAUUUCAAACUGGACAUCUAGAGUGCGGGAGAGGAAAGCGGAAUUCCUAGUGUAGCGGUGAAAUGCGUAGAGAUUAGGAAGAACACCAGUGGCGAAGGCGGCUUUCUGGACCGUAACUGACGCUGAGGCAUGAAAGCGUGGGGAGCAAACAGGAUU
rnacentral:rRNA from 1 species